GGGUCAGUAGGUUGGUCGUGCCUCCGGUACGUACUGGUCUCACUGAUUCCUCCUUCCUGAAGAACCGUAAUGCCAUUAAUUUGGUGUUGCGGGGAAACAGGACUGUUACUUUGAAAAAAUUAGGGUGUUUAAAGCAAGCUAACGCUUGAAUACAUUAGCAUGGAAUAAUGAAAUAGGACGAUCGAUCCUAUUUUGUUGGUUUCUAGGAUUGACGUA
rnacentral:rRNA from 1 species